rnacentral:rRNA from 1 species
UACGUAGGGCGCAAGCGUUUAUCCGGAAUUAUUGGGCGUAAAGAGCUCGUAGGCGGUUUGUCGCGUCUGCCGUGAAAAGUCCGGGGGCUCAACUCCGGAUCUGCGGUGGGUACGGGCAGACUAGAGUGAUGUAGGGGGAGACUGGAAUUCCCGGUGUAGCGGUGGAAUGCGUAGAGAUCGGGAAGAAUACCCGUGGCGAAGGCGGCCAGCUGGGCCAGGUCCGACACUGAGGCGCGAAAGCGUGGGGAGCAAACAGG